rnacentral:rRNA from 1 species
CAGUAGCCGCGGGAAUACGUAGGGUGCAAGCGUUAAUCGGAAUUACUGGGCGUAAAGCGUGCGCAGGCGGUUUGUUAAGACAGAUGUGAAAUCCCCGGGCUCAACCUGGGAACUGCAUUUGUGACUGGCAAGCUAGAGUGUGACAGAGGGGGGUGGAAUUCCGCGUGUAGCAGUGAAAUGCGUAGAUAUGCGGAGGAACACCGAUGGCGAAGGCAGCCCCCUGGGCCAACACUGACGCUCAUGCACGAAAGCGUGGGGAGCAAACACGAUUAGAUACCCCAGUAGUCCCUGUCUCUUAUAC